GGGGCACCACCAGGAGUGGAGCCUGCGGCUUAAUUUGACUCAACACGGGAAAUCUCACCAGGCCCGGACACUGGAAGGAUUGACAGAUUGAGAGCUCUUUCUCGAUUCGGUGGGUGGUGGUGCAUGGCCGUUCUUAGUUGGUGGAGUGAUUUGUCUGGUUAAUUCCGAUAACGAACGAGACUCUGUCCUGCUAAAUAGUUCCCGCGUCCUUUGUUGCGCGGGAAAUUCUUCUUAGAGGGACUGGCGGCGUCUAGCCGCACGAGAUUGAGCAAUAACAGGUCUGUGAUGCCCUUAGAUGUUCUGGGCCGCGCGCGCGCUACACUGAAGGGAUCAGCGUGUCUUCCCUUCCCGAGAGGGACGGGUAACCCGCUGAACCCCCUUCGUGGUAGGGAUCGGGGCUUGCAAUUAUUCCCCGUGAACCAGGAAUUCCCAGUAGGCGCAAGUCAUAAGCUUGCGUUGAUUACGUCCCUGCCCUUUGUACACACCGCCCGUCGCUACUACCGAUUGAACGUUUUAGUG
rnacentral:rRNA from 1 species